CAGCCGCCACGGUAAUACAGAGGGUGCGAGCGUUAAUCGGAUUUACUGGGCGUAAAGCGUGCGCAGGCGGUUAUAUAAGACAGAUGUGAAAUCCCCGGGCUCAACCUGGGAACUGCAUUUGUGACUGUAUAGCUAGAGUACGGCAGAGGGGGAUGGAAUUCCGCGUGUAGCAGUGAAAUGCGUAGAUAUGCGGAGGAACACCGAUGGCGAAGGCAAUCCCCUGGGCCUGUACUGACGCUCAUGCACGAAAGCGUGGGGAGCAAACAGGAUUAGAUACCCGUGUAGUCCCUGUCUCUUAUAC
rnacentral:rRNA from 1 species